rnacentral:rRNA from 1 species
GACGAACCGUGCAAACGUUGUUCGGAAUCACUGGGCAUAAAGGGCGCGUAGGCGGGCGGCAUAGUCCGGGGUGAAAUCCCCCAGCUUAACUGGGGAACUGCCUCGGAUACUGGCCGCCUCGAGUGAGGUAGGGGCGUGCGGAACUGAUGGUGGAGCGGUGAAAUGUGUUGAUAUCAUCAGGAACUCCGGUGGCGAAAGCGGCGCGCUGGACCUCAACUGACGCUGAGGCGCGAAAGCCAGGGGAGCAAACGGG